rnacentral:rRNA from 1 species
GAUGAACGCUGGCGGCGUGCUUAACACAUGCAAGUCGAACGGAAAGGCUCCUGCUUGCAGGGGUACUCGAGUGGCGAACGGGUGAGUAACACGUGGGUGAUCUGCCCAGCACUUCGGGAUAAGCCUGGGAAACUGGGUCUAAUACCGGAUAGGACGAUGGUUUGGAUGCCAUUGUGGAAAGUUUUUUCGGUGUGGGAUGAGCUCGCGGCCUAUCAGCUUGUUGGUGGGGUAAUGGCCUACCAAGGCGUCGACGGGUAGCCGGCCUGAGAGGGUGUACGGCCACAUUGGGACUGAGAUACGGCCCAGACUCCUACGGGAGGCAGCAGUGGGGAAUAUUGCACAAUGGGCGCAAGCCUGAUGCAGCGACGCCGCGUGGGGGAUGACGGCCUUCGGGUUGUAAACUCCUUUCGCUAGGGACGAAGCGCAAGUGGCGGUACCUGGAGAAGAAGCACCGGCUAACUACGUG